ACAAAAUCAUAACUUAGGCUUAUUUUCUUCCUCUUUAAUAGAGUACAAUGGCUCUGUCUCUCACUCUCUCACUACUGACUCUCACUCUCUAAAGACUGAAGGUCUUGCUAAUUGCUAAAACCCUAAACCCUACCUCGUUUCUCUCUCUAAACAUAAACGUGGAAUCUCAGAAUGAAGAAAAUCCGGAUGGUUCAUCUUCUAGUACUCUUCCUGUGCCAAUUGAGGGUGAGAGCCAAAGGUCUUCUCAAAUUAUUGAAUUUACUGAAUCUGAAAAAAAGGAAAUUGAAGUCUAAAUUAUGGAGACAUUUUAAACUGGUAAGCGUUAAUGGUGUUCGCUAUGGUAUUUGUAAUUACUGUAAUGCUCGUAUCAAAUCAAAUAGAAAAUGCGGGAUAUCGUCUAUGUCAGAACAUUUUCUUAGAUGUCCUAAUAAGCCAAGAAAUUUGGAAAACUAUAGUGGUUCAGGGGGUGAUAAUAGUAGCCAACAUUAUUUCGAACAAGUUGUUUCACGUAGAGAACUUGCUCGUGCCAUUAUUUUGCAUGAAUAUCACCUGUCUAUUGUUGAUCAUGUAGGAUUUAGAAAGCUUGUUGCUAGUCUUCAGCCGUUGUUCAAAAUGGUGUCAAGGAACACAAUCAAGAAUGAUAUCUUGAAGAUUUUUGACAAUUUGAAAUAAAAAACAUCUAACUUAUUGGAAAAACUCACAAGUAGAAU